AAUGGGAUGGCUGACAAAGGUGAUAAAUUGUAAAUUUAUUUAUGAUAUUUUAUGUAUCUCCUAUUA
rnacentral:tRNA from 1 species